AGAAUGCGCGCACUUUCGGGUGACCGGCCGGCCUUGCCGGACGGUUGAAACGGGAAGCCGGUGCCGCGCCCUGCUGGAAUUCCAGCCGUCCGCCAUUCCGGCACUGCCCCCGCAACGGUAAGCAGGACAAGACCAGGCAACACCGCCACUGUGCAUGGCACGGGAAGGCGCCUGGUCGGAAGCAGCCUCGGCUGCCUCGCCUGCGAGUCCGGAGACCGGCCCGGAAGCCGACUGGUUG
rnacentral:ncRNA from 1 species